rnacentral:rRNA from 1 species
GCAUAUCAAUAAGCGGAGGAAAAGAAACCAACAGGGAUUGCCUCAGUAACGGCGAGUGAAGCGGCAAAAGCUCAAAUUUGAAAUCCCCCCGGGGAGUUGUAAUUUGAAGAUUGCGUCUUGGAGGCGACCGUGUCUAUGUUCCUUGGAACAGGACGUCACAGAGGGUGAGAAUCCCGUGCGGCACGGCCCCCGGCUCCUUAUAAGGCGCUCUCGACGAGUCGAGUUGUUUGGGAAUGCAGCUCAAAGUGGGUGGUAAAUUCCAUCUAAAGCUAAAUACAGGCGAGAGACCGAUAGCGAACAAGUACAGUGAUGGAAAGAUGAAAAGCACUUUGAAAAGAGAGUGAAACAGCACGUGAAAUUGUUGAAAGGGAAGGGCAUGCCGUCAGAUUGUCAGUGUGGGUAAGAAGCGGGGUACAAAGACUGUGGAACGUGGCCCUCGGGUGUUAUAGCCGCAGUUCAUGCCCCGUCUCUUCCGAGGCCUGCUUGAGACAC